rnacentral:rRNA from 1 species
UACGUAGGGUGCGAGCGUUGUCCGGAUUUAUUGGGCGUAAAGAGCUCGUAGGCGGUUUGUCGCGUCGGCCGUGAAAUCUCCACGCUUAACGUGGAGCGUGCGGUCGAUACGGGCAGACUUGAGUUCGGUAGGGGAGACUGGAAUUCCUGGUGUAGCGGUGAAAUGCGCAGAUAUCAGGAGGAACACCGGUGGCGAAGGCGGGUCUCUGGGCCGUAACUGACGCUGAGGAGCGAAAGCAUGGGGAGCGAACAGG